AUGCACGCUGGCGGCGUGCCUAAUGCAUGCCAGUCGAGCGAACAGACGAGGAGCUUGCUCCUCUGACGUUAGCGGCGGACGGGUGAGUAACACGUGGAUAACCUACCUAUAAGACUGGGAUAACUUCGGGAAACCGGAGCUAAUACCGGAUAAUAUAUUGAACCGCAUGGUUCAAUAGUGAAAGACGGUUUUGCUGUCACUUAUAGAUGGAUCCGCGCCGCAUUAGCUAGUUGGUAAGGUAACGGCUUACCAAGGCAACGAUGCGUAGCCGACCUGAGAGGGUGAUCGGCCACACUGGAACUGAGACACGGUCCAGACUCCUACGGGAGGCAGCAGUAGGGAAUCUUCCGCAAUGGGCGAAAGCCUGACGGAGCAACGCCGCGUGAGUGAUGAAGGUCUUCGGAUCGUAAAACUCUGUUAUUAGGGAAGAACAAAUGUGUAAGUAACUAUGCACGUCUUGACGGUACCUAAUCAGAAAGCCACGGCUAACUACGUG
rnacentral:rRNA from 1 species